rnacentral:rRNA from 1 species
CCUGCGGAGGGAUCAUUACACAAAUAUGAAGGCGGGCUGGAACCUCUCGGGGUUACAGCCUUGCUGAAUUAUUCACCCUUGUCUUUUGCGUACUUCUUGUUUCCUUGGUGGGUUCGCCCACCACUAGGACAAACAUAAACCUUUUGUAAUUGCAAUCAGCGUCAGUAACAAAUUAAUAAUUACAACUUUCAACAACGGAUCUCUUGGUUCUGGCAUCGAUGAAGAACGCAGCGAAAUGCGAUAAGUAGUGUGAAUUGCAGAAUUCAGUGAAUCAUCGAAUCUUUGAACGCACAUUGCGCCCUUUGGUAUUCCAAAGGGCAUGCCUGUUCGAGCGUCAUUUGUACCCUCAAGCUUUGCUUGGUGUUGGGCGUCUUGUCUCUAGCUUUGCUGGAGACUCGCCUUAAAGUAAUUGGCAGCCGGCCUACUGGUUUCGGAGCGCAGCACAAGUCGCACUCUCUAUCAGCAAAGGUCUAGCAUCCAUUAAGCCUUUUUUUCAACUUUUGACCUCGGAUCAGGUAGGGAUACCCGCUGAACUUAAGCAUAUCAAUAAGCGGAG